rnacentral:rRNA from 1 species
UACCAGCACCCCGAGUGGUCGGGACGAUUAUUGGGCCUAAAGCAUCCGUAGCCGGUUCUACAAGUCUUCCGUUAAAUCCACCUGCUUAACAGAUGGGCUGCGGAGGAUACUAUGGAGCUAGGAGGCGGGAGAGGCAAGCGGUACUCAGUGGGUAGGGGUAAAAUCCGUUGAUCCAUUGAAGACCACCAGUGGCGAAGGCGGCUUGCCAGAAUGCGCUCGACGGUGAGGGAUGAAAGCUGGGGGAGCAAACCGG